rnacentral:rRNA from 1 species
UACGUAGGGUGCAAGCGUUAAUCGGAAUUACUGGGCGUAAAGCGUGCGCAGGCGGUUUUGUAAGACAGGCGUGAAAUCCCCGGGCUCAACCUGGGAAUGGCGCUUGUGACUGCAAAGCUGGAGUGCGGCAGAGGGGGAUGGAAUUCCGCGUGUAGCAGUGAAAUGCGUAGAUAUGCGGAGGAACACCGAUGGCGAAGGCAAUCCCCGGGGCCUGCAUUGACGAUCAUGCACGAAAGCGUGGGGAGCAAACAGG